rnacentral:rRNA from 1 species
CAGCAGCCGCGGUAAUACGUAGGGGCUAAGCGUUAUCCGGAUUUAUUGGGCGUAAAGCAUUAGCAGGUGGUUAGAUUAGUCAAAUGUGAAAGCCCGCGGCUUAACCGUGGAGGGUCAUUUGAAACUGUCUAACUGGAGUACGGUAGAGGUUAGUGGAAUGCAAUGUGUAGCGGUAAAAUGCGUAGAUAUAUUGCGGAACACCAGUGGCGAAGGCGGCUAACUGGACCGGAACUGACACUGAGGCACGAAAGCGUGGGUAGCAAACAGGAUUAGAUACCCUGGUAGUCCACGCCGUAAACGAUGAGAACUAAGUGUUGGGGUUAAACCCAGUGCUGAAGUUAACGCAUUAAGUUCUCCGCCUGGGGAUUACGGCCGCAAGGCUAAAACUCAAAAGAAUUGACGGGUCUCCGCACAAGCGGUGGAGCAUGUUGGUUAAUUCGAAGAUACGCGAAGAACCUCACCAGGUCUUGACAUAUUCCUGACGUCUGUAGAAAUACAGAUUCCCUUCGGGGCAGGUAUACAGGUGGUGCAUGGUUGUCGUCAGCUCGUGUCGUGAGAUGUUGGGUUAAGUCCCGUAACGAGCGCAACCCCUAUCGAUAGUUGCUAACAUUAAGUUGAGGACUCUAUCGAGACUGCCAGUGAUAAACUGGAAGAAGGUGGGGAUGACGUCAAAUCAUCAUGCCCCUUAUGAUCUGGGCUACAAACGUGCUACAAUGGCCGGUACAAAGAGUUGCCAAGUCGUGAGACGGAGCUAACCUUUUAAAGCCGGUCUCAGUUCGGAUUGAAGUCUGCAACUCGACUUCAUGAAGCUGGAAUCGCUAGUAAUCGUGGGUCAGAACACCACGGUGAAUACGUUCUCGGAGAUUGUACACACCGCCCGUCACACCACGAGAGUUCGUAACACCCGAAUUACGUGGCCUAACUGCCUUUUGGCGGGAGGGUUGUAGUAAGGGUGGAGGCAGCGAUUGGGGUGAAGUCGUAACAAGGUAGCCGUA